GCAGCAAUUCAAAGCACCAUUGAUGCAGCUGUAUCCAAAUCUAUGGGAAGAAUCGUCGAGGAGGUAAGAAGCUUGCGGCGAGAUAUCGCAGAGUUGAGGAAUAGCAGAGACAAUGUUCCAUCAAAAAGGAUUAUGCCAGCGGAAGCUUUAAACACAGUGGAGCAAUUUAUGGAAUUGGAGAGUUUACUCCAGAAGGAUGAAGAAUAUGCUAAAUUUAAAUCGGAACUUAUGCAAAAUAUUAAAUACACAGGAGCGAAAUUCGUCAGAACAACUUGGCGCUCAUUGGUAUCCGAUGAAUGUGCUCAACAUUUUGCUUGGAGUGGAACGUCAGACAAAAAACCUGUCCGCGUCUUAAAAAUGUCUUCUUACAUGAAGUGAAGGGCAAUGACACUGAAUAUAUAAGUGGCACCAAGACGAUUUUUCAGUUUGCCAAAAA